AUUGAACGCUGGCGGCAGGCCUAACACAUGCAAGUCGAGCGGAUGAAGGGAGCUUGCUCCUGGAUUCAGCGGCGGACGGGUGAGUAAUGCCUAGGAAUCUGCCUGGUAGUGGGGGAUAACGUCCGGAAACGGGCGCUAAUACCGCAUACGUCCUGAGGGAGAAAGUGGGGGAUCUUCGGACCUCACGCUAUCAGAUGAGCCUAGGUCGGAUUAGCUAGUUGGUGGGGUAAAGGCCUACCAAGGCGACGAUCCGUAACUGGUCUGAGAGGAUGAUCAGUCACAGGGGAAAUGAGAGACGGUGCAGAAGCGUACGGGAGGGCGCAGUGGGGAAUAUUGGGAAAAGGGUGAAAGUGUGAACGAGCAAAGGCGAGUGAGUGAAGAAGGUCUUCGGAUUGUAGAUGUCUUGAAGUUGGGAAGAAGAGCAGUAAGUUAAUACUUUGCGGUAGUGACGGUACCAACAGAGCAAGCACCGGCUAACUUCGUG
rnacentral:rRNA from 1 species